rnacentral:rRNA from 1 species
UACGCGUGCCUCAAGCGUUAUCCGGAAUCAUUGGGCGUAAAGGUUGUGUAGGUGGUCAUCUUAGUCUUUUGUUAAAUUCUUCGGCUUAACCGGGGGCAUGCAAAGGAAACGGUAUGACUAGAGGAUGCGAGGGGUCUGCGGAACUCAUAGUGUAGCGGUGAAAUGCGUUGAUAUUAUGGGGAACACCAAAAGCGAAGGCAGCAGACUGGAGCACUCCUGACACUGAAACAAGAAAGCGUGGGUCGCGAAUGGG